UCCCUCAUAGCUCAGUUGGUAAAGAAUCUGCCUGCAGUGCAGGAGACCCUGGUUCAAUUCCUGGGUUGGGAA
rnacentral:tRNA from 1 species